UGGGGAAUUUUGGACAAUGGGCGAAAGCCUGAUCCAGCAAUGCCGCGUGUGUGAAGAAGGCCUUCGGGUUGUAAAGCACUUUUGUCCGGAAAGAAAUCCUUGGCUCUAAUACAGUCGGGGGAUGACGGUACCGGAAGAAUAAGCACCGGCUAACUACGUGCCAGCAGCCGCGGUAAUACGUAGGGUGCAAGCGUUAAUCGGAAUUACUGGGCGUAAAGCGUGCGCAGGCGGUUUGCUAAGACCGAUGUGAAAUCCCCGGGCUCAACCUGGGAACUGCAUUGGUGACUGGCAGGCUAGAGUAUGGCAGAGGGGGGUAGAAUUCCACGUGUAGCAGUGAAAUGCGUAGAGAUGUGGAGGAAUACCGAUGGCGAAGGCAGCCCCCUGGGCCAAUACUGACGCUCAUGCACGAAAGCGUGGGGAGCAAACAGGAUUAGAUACCCUGGUAGUCCACGCCCUAAACGAUGUCAACUAGUUGUUGGGGAUUCAUUUCCUAGUAACGUAGCUAACGCGUGAAGUUGACCGCCUGGGGAGUACGGUCGCAAGAUUAAAACUCAAAGGAAUUGACGGGGUCAUAGCUGUUUCC
rnacentral:rRNA from 1 species